rnacentral:rRNA from 1 species
CCUACGGGGCGCAGCAGUGGGGAAUAUUGCACAAUGGGGGAAACCCUGAUGCAGCGACGCCGCGUGAGUGAAGAAGUAAUUCGUUAUGUACAGCUCUAUCAGCAGGGAAGAAAAUGACGGUACCUGAGUAAGAAGCCCCGGCUAACUACGUGCCAGCAGCCGCGGUAAGACGUAGGGGGCAAGCGUUAUCCGGAGUUACUGGGUGUAAAGGGAGCGUAGACGGCAGUGCAAGUCUGGAGUGAAAGGCGGGGGCUCAACCCCCGGACUGCUCUGGAAACUGUACGGCUGGAGUGCAGGAGAGGUAAGUGGAAUUCCUAGUGUAGCGGUGAAAUGCGUAGAUAUUAGGAGGAACACCAGUGGCGAAGGCGGCUUACUGGACUGUAACUGACGUUGAGGCUCGAAAGCGUGGGGAGCAAACAGGAUUAGAUACCCUAGUAGUC